AUUGAACGCUGGCGGAAUGCUUUACACAUGCAAGUCGAACGGCAGCACGGACUUCGGUCUGGUGGCGAGUGGCGAACGGGUGAGUAAUGUAUCGGAACGUGCCCAGUCGUGGGGGAUAACGUAGUGAAAAUUACGCUAAUACCGCAUACGAUCUAUGGAUGAAAUAGGGGGAUCGCAAGACCUCGCGCGACUGGAGCGGCCGAUAUCAGAUUAGGUAGUUGGUGGGGUAAAGGCCCACCAAGCCAACGAUCUGUAGCUGGUCGGAGAGGACGACCAGCCACACUGGAACUGAGACACGGUCCAGACUCCUACGGGAGGCAGCAGUGGGGAAUUUUGGACAAUGGGCGAAAGCCUGAUCCAGCCAUUCCGCGUGCAGGAUGAAGGCCCUCGGGUUGUAAACUGCUUUUGUACAGAACGAAAAGGUUUCUACUAAUACUAGGAGCUCAUGACGGUACUGUAAGAAUAAGCACCGGCUAACUACGUGCCAGCCGCCGCCGUAA
rnacentral:rRNA from 1 species